ACGGAUCACGCCGCGUGAGUGAUGAAGGUUUUCGGAUCUGUAAACUCUGUUGUUAGGGAAGAACAAGUGCAUAGUAACUGAUGGCACCUUGACGGUACCUAACCAGAAAGCCACGGCUAACUACGUGCCAGCAGCCGCGGUAAUACGUAGGUGGCAAGCGUUGUCCGGGAAUUAUUUGGGCGUAAAGGCGCUCGCAAGGCGGGUUCUUUACAGUCCGGAUGUUGAAAUCUUAACGGCUCAACCCGUAAACGUGCCUUGGGAAACUUGGGGAACUUUGAGUGCCGACAGAGGAGAGUGGAAUUCCACGUUGUAGCGGUGAAAUGCGUAGAGAUGUGGAGGAACACCAGUGUGGCGAAGGCGACUCUCUGGUCUUGUAACUGACGCUGAGGAGCGAAAGCGUGGGGAGCGAACAGGAUUAGAUACCCUGGUAGUCCACGCCGUAAACGAA
rnacentral:rRNA from 1 species